GACGAACGCUGGCGGCGUGCUUAACACAUGCAAGUCGAGCGGUAAGGCCCUUUCGGGGGUACACGAGCGGCGAACGGGUGAGUAACACGUGGGUGACCUGCCCUCAGCUCUGGGAUAAGCCUGGGAAACCGGGUCUAAUACCGGAUAUGACCUCAUGACGCAUGUUGUGGGGUGGAAAGCCUUGUGCGGCUGAGGAUGGGCCCGCGGCCUAUCAGCUUGUUGGUGGGGUGAUGGCCUACCAAGGCGACGACGGGUAGCCGGCCUGAGAGGGCGACCGGCCACACUGGGACUGAGACACGGCCCAGACUCCUACGGGAGGCAGCAGUGGGGAAUCUUGCGCAAUGGGCGAAAGCCUGACGCAGCGACGCCGCGUGAGGGAUGACGGCCUGGUGUAA
rnacentral:rRNA from 1 species